rnacentral:sRNA from 1 species
CAUUUAACAGAAGAGAAACCUGAUGGCCUUAUCAAUGAAGCUACUAGGCAAGUUGCUUUGGCAGAUAUCAUUCUCAUUAAUAAAACAGACUUGGUUCCAGAAGAAGAUGUAAAGAAAUUAAGAACGACAAUUAGAUCCAUAAAUGGACUAGGACAAAUCUUAGAAACACAAAGAUCAAGGCUCAGCAGCUAAUAGACUCAGCGACUCAGCAACAGGCAGCCAGGAGCUCUGAGGCUCACAGCUGGCAGUCUAGUUCCACUCAGUCUCUACUUGAGAAAUUCUUUCUUUGGAAGUACAGCAGAGGCCUUAGCCACUCAUCUGCUGGCAGAGGUAGCAGAAGAAUGCCCUUAGUAACAAUAAACAUGCAGUGAUUGAUUUUUCUUACUUCAAGUGGAUGAGUGAGCAAGUGACUAAAAUCUUCUGUGAGUUCUUCAGUAAUCUCACUCUGGUUUGAGACAGAAUCUCACUCUGUCCCCCAAGUUGGAGUGCGGUGGUGCGAUCUCGGCUCACUGAAACCUCUGCCUCCUGGGUUCAAGCGAUUCUCCUGCUUCACCCUCCGGGUAGCUGGGAUUACAGGUGUGCACCACCACACCCAGCUAAUUUUUGUAUUUUUAGUAGAGACGGUUUCGCCACAUUGGCCAGAGUUGAUCUCUCUAAUGUAUUAGAUCUUCAUGCCUUUGAUAGUCUCUCUGGAAUAAGUUUGCAGAAAAAACUUAAGCAUGUGCCAGGAACACAACCUCACCUUGAUCAGAGUAUUGUUACAAUCACAUUUGAAGUACCAGGAAAUGCAAAGGAAGAACAUCUUAAUAUGUUUAUUCAGAAUCUCCUGUGGGAAAAGAAUGUGAGAAACAAGGACAAUCACUGCAUGGAGGUCAUAAGGCUGAAGGGAUUGGUGUCAAUCAAAGACAAAUCACAACAAGUGAUUGUCCAGGGUGUCCAUGAGCUCUAUGAUCUGGAGGAGACUCCAGUGAGCUGGAAGGAUGACACUGAGAGAACAAAUCGAUUGGUCCUCCUUGGCAGAAAUUUAGAUAAGGAUAUCCUUAAACAGCUGUUUAUAGCUACUGUGACAGAAACAGAAAAGCAGUGGACAACACAUUUCAAAGAAGAUCAAGUUUGUACGUAACACUAGAGGCAUUUCUUAUCAAAAGGAUUGGAUAAUAAAAAUAAGUUUCUACUGG